GUUGGACACCGUCAGGUGAAGACGCUUCGAUAUGUGUGGUGCUGUCGCAAGGUUGGGCUUUUAUAAGGCGUAGAAGCUAAUAAUGUUUUAAGAGACUUGUGUCGACUUGAGCAUUCUCCUUUUGCUUUGGAUGAGAAGCUGUCAAAGGCCGUUUGGCAAAAAGCUCCGAGAUGCCGCACAGCAUUUGCCUGCAAACCACCUAGCCUUGGGUUAACAUUCAGGAACCUUACUCCCCUUCUUGCAUCUGUUAUAUUAAAACUGAAUAAAUAAUUUUGUAAUUCUGUUGGUUUUCAUUUGGAUAUGAAGCAAUGAUAGAUAUGAAGUAAUAAUGAUUAUGAGUAAAAUUAUAUAGAUAUGAUAAAUAUUGAGCACUUUCAAAGUCGGUUUGCUAAAAAUAAUCUAUGAAUAUUGUUUUUGGGAUUGAUGGUUUUUUUAUGGCACCUUGAGAUAUUUAAAAUGGUUAUGCCAAGUGUUUCGUAAAGAGGGGAAUUAAAUAUUUUAAUUGCUUUAACCCGCUGAAAGAAUAUGUAUUAGAUUUUGCAACAGCCCAGAUUAAUAACUUCAAUUUCAUUUACAAUUUUGCUUUGUGAAUUUUUUUUCAAAAUUUUGCAUAUCCUUUGGAACAAAGUCACUUGUCCUCUCGGAUAGAAUUUUCCUGACCUUUCUUAAUAUUUAUAGUCUGGAUCCAUUUAUUUUGCGUUUUUUUUAUUGUCUGCCACACAUAAAUUUAUAGUUAAAUAUCUUCAUAUGAAUACUUCAUGUUUAAAUUUGUACAGAAAUGAGAAAGACAAAGAUUCUGAAGUAACAUUAAACCGCACUUUUUUAGAUGGCACCGGUAUAUACUCAGGAAUUGUCUAUAUUUUCUAAUUGUAUAAGAUUAAUCGAAUCUUUCAAUUCUUGUCCUAAUUGGAAUAACAUUUAAAAUAUAUUACCUUUUCCUUCAUGUUUUAUUGUGACCGAUUUUGAAUUCCACAGAUGUGCAGUCAAUUUUAUACAAACUUUAAAUAUUUCUCAGCCUGCCAAAAUUUGAAAUCCUUUACUCCUCAGAACUUUGCUAAUAAAGUCAUUUUUUAAUAUA